CGGCCGCGGGCUGCAUGGGCAGCGCCCGCGCCCCGCCGCCGUUCCGCCGCGGAGCCGCGUCGCCCUCGGAGCCGGAGCAUCCUGCCCUGCUGGAGUUCAUACCCAGUCCUGAGCAGCACUGAUUUUUGCCAUGGAAUCUACAGUUGAAGAUGAAGCAAUAGCAGCAUACAUGAAGACCAAGUAAGGGGAGGAGAACGAUGCCCAAGGGUGGGUGUUCUAAAACACCCCAGCAAGAAGACUGUUCUCUCAGCAACGACAUGGUGGAGAAACAAACUGGGAAAAAGGAUAAAGAUAAAGUUUCUCUAACCAAGACUCCAAAGCUGGACCGCACUGAUGGAGGGAAGGAGGUGAGAGAACGGGUCACCAAGCGGAAGCUGCCCUUCACCGUGGGGGCCAAUGGAGAGCAGAAAGACUCGGACACAGAGAAGCAGGGUCCUGAACGGAAGAGGAUCAAGAAGGAACCUGUUCCCCGAAAGUCCGGGCUAUUGUUCGGCAUGGGGCUGUCUGGGAUCCGAGCUGGAUACCCGCUCUCUGAGCGUCAGCAGGUGGCUCUGCUCAUGCAGAUGACCGCCGAGGAGUCUGCAAAUAGUCCAGUAGACACCACACCAAAGCACCCUUCCCAGUCUACAGUGUGUCAGAAGGGGACCCCCAACUCCGCCUCAAAAACCAAAGAUAAGGUGAAUAAGAGAAAUGAGCGAGGAGAGACGCGCCUGCACCGAGCAGCUAUUCGAGGUGAUGCCCGGCGCAUCAAGGAGCUCAUCAGUGAGGGCGCAGACGUUAAUGUCAAGGACUUUGCAGGCUGGACUGCACUGCACGAGGCAUGUAACCGGGGCUACUAUGACAUCGCCAAGCAGCUGUUAGCCGCUGGUGCGGAGGUGAACACUAAGGGCCUGGACGAUGACACGCCUUUGCACGACGCCGCCAACAACGGGCACUACAAGGUGGUGAAGUUGUUGUUACGAUAUGGCGGAAAUCCUCAGCAAAGCAACAGAAAAGGCGAGACACCGUUGAAAGUAGCCAAUUCCCCAACGAUGGUGAAUCUCCUGUUAGGCAAAGGCACAUACACUUCCAGUGAGGAAAGCUCUACUGAGAGCUCUGAAGAAGAGGAUGCCCCAUCCUUUGCACCUUCCAGCUCCGUCGAUGGCAAUAACACAGACUCUGAGUUUGAGAAAGGCCUCAAGCUUAAGGCUAAGAACCCAGAGCCCCAGAAAACUGUGACCCCUGUCAAGGACGAGUACGAGUUUGACGAGGAUGACGAGCAAGACAGGGUCCCCCCGGUGGAUGACAAGCACUUGCUGAAGAAAGACUAUAGGAGGGAAGCCAAGUCCAACAGCUUCAUCUCCAUACCCAAAAUGGAAGUGAGGAGUUACUCCAAAAACAACACGCUCGCACCAAAGAAGGCGGCCCAUCGCAUCUUGUCAGACACAUCAGACGAGGAGGAUGUGAGUGCCUCCAUAGGGGCUGGAGAGAAACUGAGGCUGUCAGCACACACAAUGCUACCUAGUAGUAAGGCACGAGAGUCUUCUAGUUCUAGGCAGCAAAAAGAAAAAAAUAAAUUGAAAAAGAAGCGAAAGAAAGAAACAAAAGGGAAGGAAGUUCGGUUUGGAAAGAGGAGUGACAAGUUCUGUUCCUCUGGGCUGCCUCAAGGGGUCCCCACUGGUGCUGAAGGACCCUUCCCUGUUCAGCUCACUGUCUGCCUCCUCCACCUCGUCUCAUGGUAGUGCUGUGGCCCAGAAACACAGCUCUGGCCACACUGACCAGCACACUAAGCACUGGCGCACUGACAAUUGGAAAGCCAUUUCUUCUCCAGCCUGGUCUGAGGUGAGUUCUUUGUCAGACUCCUCAAGGACGGGACUGACCAGUGAGUCUGACUGCUCCUCCGAGGGCUCCAGUGUGGAAUCUCUGAAGCCUACAAGGAGGAAGCAGGAGCACCGUAAAAGGGGCAGCCUGCAGAGCAUGCCGGAGAGGAGAGGCACCUUCCACCCCUGUGCAGACGGGGCUGUCCCCAAGCUGGACAAGGAAGGGAAGGUGGUCAAAAAACACAAGACGAAACACAAACACAAACACAAGGAGAAAGGACCAUGUUCUGUCAGCCAAGAACUUAAACUGAAAAGCUUUACAUAUGAAUAUGAGGACUCCAAGCAAAAGCCCGAUAAGGCCAUCCUCCUCGAGAACGACGUCUCCACUGAAAAUAAGUUGAAAGUGCUGAAACACGACAGAGACAAACUCAGUAAGACGAAGUCGGAGGAUAAAGAGUGGCUCUUUAAGGAUGAGAAAGCCCUCAAGAGAAUGAAGGACGUCAGCAAAGACACCAGCAGAGCUUUCCGAGAGGAAAGAGACCGUCCCAGUAAAACAGAGAGGGAGAGAUCCACAAAGGAGAAGUCUCCUAAGGAAGAGAAAUUAAGACUGUACAAAGAAGAAAGGAAGAAAAAGUCCAAAGAUCGACCGUUCAAGCUAGAAAAGAAGAACGACAUGAAGGAGGUCUCCAAGGAGAAGGAGAAGGCCUUCAGAGAGGACAAAGAGAAGCUCAAGAAGGAAAAGCUGCAGCACACAGAAAAACCAAGGGACAAAGAGCCCAAGGAAAAGAGGAAGGACAGAGGAGCUGCGGAAGGGGGAAAGGACAAGAAGGAAAAGAUCUUCGAGAAGCACAAAGAAAAGAAAGAUAAAGAGUGUGCAGAGAAAUACAAGGAAAGGAAAGACAGAGCCUCUGUUGACUCUGCCCCAGAAAAGAAGAAUAAACAGAAACUCCCUGAGAAGGUAGAAAAGAAGCACUUUGUUGAAGACAAGGCAAAGAAGAAGAAAGACAGAAACGAUUCUGAGAGAGAACCUGCCAAGAAACUAGAGAAGGAGUUAAAGCCGUAUGGGUCAAGUACCAUCAGCAUCCUGAAAGAAAAGAAGAAGAGAGAGAAACAUAGGGAGAAAUGGAGGGAAGAAAAGGAGAAACACAGGGACAAGCAUAUAGACGGGUUCCUGAGACAUCACAAGGAUGAGCCAAAGCCUGCAGCCAAAGACAAGGACAACCCUCCCAACUGCUUUAAGGAGAAGUCCAGAGAGGAAAGCCUGAAGCUCAGUGAGGCCAAGCUGAAGGAGAAGUUCAAGGAGAACGCAGAACGAGAAAAGGGCGACUCCGUGAAGAUGAGCAACGGCAACGACAAGCCUCUGCCAUCCCGAGACGCAAACAAGAAGGACAGCAGGCCCCGCGAGAAGCUCCUGGGAGAUGGCGACCUCAUGAUGACCAGCUUUGAGAGGAUGCUGUCCCAGAAAGACCUUGAGAUCGAGGAGCGGCACAAGCGGCACAAGGAGCGCAUGAAGCAGAUGGAGAAGAUGCGGCACAGGUCUGGAGACCCCAAGCUCAAAGAGAAGAAGCCCACGGAUGAUGGGCGCAAGAAGAGCCUAGACUUCCCUUCCAAGAAAGCUCUGGGGCUGGACAAGAAGGUCAAGGAGCCGGCUCCCGUGCUGCCCACUGGUGAAGGCAAGCCACAUUCUGGACCAGGCACAGAGUCCAAAGACUGGUUGGCUGGACAACCCUUGAAGGAGGUUCUGCCUGCUUCACCCCGCACUGAGCAGGGCCGACCCACUGGGGUGCCCACGCCCACCUCAGUAGUGUCAUGCCCCAGCUAUGAAGAGGUGAUGCACACACCCAGAACCCCAUCAUGCAGUGCUGAUGAUUACCCUGACCUGGUCUUCGACUGCACUGACUCCCAGCACUCGAUGCCCGUCUCCACCACUUCCACCAGCGCCUGCUCUCCACCCUUUUUUGACAGGUGGAAGAAGUUCCUCAGCGGAUGACCAGGAACCGUGCCCAGAUGCUGGCCAGCCAGAGCAAGCAGGGCAUACCCGCAACAGAGAAGGACUCAAUGCCUGCCCCAGCCUCUAGAGCCAAGGGCCGUGCCCCUGAGGAGGAGGACGCCCAGGCCCAGCACCCCCGCAAGCGGCGCUUCCAACGGUCUGGUCAGCAGCUGCAGCAGCAGCUGAACACAUCCACACAGCAGACCCGCGAGGUUAUUCAGCAGACGCUGGCAGCCAUCGUGGAUGCAAUUAAACUGGACGCCAUUGAGCCCUACCACAGCGACAGGUCCAACCCAUACUUUGAGUACCUUCAGAUCAGAAAGAAGAUCGAAGAGAAACGGAAGAUCCUCUGCUGCAUCACUCCGCAGGCCCCCCAGUGCUAUGCUGAGUAUGUCACCUACACGGGGUCCUACCUCCUGGACGGCAAGCCCCUCAGCAAGCUGCACAUCCCUGUGAUUGCACCCCCUCCCUCUCUAGCAGAGCCUCUGAAGGAGCUGUUCAAGCAACAAGAGGCUGUGCGGGGUAAGCUGCGUCUGCAGCACAGCAUCGAGAGGGAGAAGCUGAUUGUGUCCUGUGAGCAAGAGAUUCUUCGGGUUCAUUGCCGGGCAGCCAGGACCAUUGCCAAUCAGGCAGUGCCAUUCAGUGCAUGCACAAUGCUGCUGGACUCCGAGGUCUACAACAUGCCUCUGGAGAGCCAGGGGGAUGAAAACAAGUCUGUACGAGACCGCUUCAAUGCUCGCCAGUUCAUCUCCUGGCUGCAGGACGUAGACGACAAGUAUGACCGCAUGAAGACAUGUUUGCUGAUGCGGCAGCAACAUGAAGCUGCAGCCCUCAAUGCCGUGCAGAGGAUGGAGUGGCAGUUGAAGGCCCAGGAGCUGGACCCUGCUGGGCACAAGUCCCUGUGUGUAAAUGAGGUGCCAUCCUUCUACGUGCCCAUGGUUGACGUCAACGAUGACUUUGUACUGUUGCCAGCAUGACACCCAGAUGAAGGUCACAGGACACAAACGAGGGCCACAUAGGUCGCCCAGUGCUGCCGAUGAGUCCCGGCAGCGGAGGAGGGAGCACCGCGUCCAUCAAGUGGGAGGAGCCCAGAGACUGCACCUGGCCUGGCCAUGUCUCUCCCUCCAGAUGCCGGUGAGGUCGAAUGCACCUCUUUAUCCAGUCGCCGGGGGGAGCACGGGGCCUGGACACUGCAGAGCUUGGGACAAGGAGACCAUGGCCACAGACAGGGUGGCUCUGUCUCAGUCACGCCCUCUGGGUUCUCUUCAGCUGAUGACAGGGCACUUGAGGAGUCGCAGAGCAGAGUGUGGUUUUUUCUUUCUUUUCUUUUUUUAAUUCCUCGUUCCAUUCUGAUCAACUAAUGGAAGAUAGACUAAGGCGUCCACCUCGCACAAGCAGUGACCUCCAGGUCAGAGAGGCAGGAAAGUGCUGUCCCGCCCUGGUCCCCGGGACAGGCUUGGACACUGGUGCCGGCAAGGGUCCGGCUGCUGCCUGCCUGGACACAGGGACGCAGCCAGGACUCUCCGAUAGUGUUUUUAAUGGAGUCAAAUCCACGUGGUUUGUAUAUUUUUCCUUUAAUCUUGGGCAUUUUGUUUCUCUUUCUGAGAACGUAACUUGAAACACUACAGAGCCAAUAAUCCUAUAGAGUGUAUCCGCAAACCUGUACAGUUUUAUAUACAUUCACAAUGUACUUUUGCUGCCUUCUAGAUAAUUUAUUUUGCAACACAUUACUGCACAGUUGUAAAUAACUUAUGUACUGUAACAUCACUUUCAGUUAUGUGUAAAGAAAUAAAUAAAUUAAUUAAAAUGUU
rnacentral:lncRNA from 1 species